rnacentral:rRNA from 1 species
UACGUAGGGGGCAAGCGUUAUCCGGAAUUACUGGGUGUAAAGGGAGCGUAGGCGGGAUUGCAAGUCAGAUGUGAAAGGCGGAGGCUCAACCUCCGAGCUGCAUUUGAAACUGUAGUUCUUGAGUGAAGUAGAGGUAAGCGGAAUUCCUGGUGUAGCGGUGAAAUGCGUAGAUAUCAGGAGGAACACCGGUGGCGAAGGCGGCUUACUGGGCUUUUACUGACGCUGAGGCUCGAAAGCGUGGGGAGCAAACA